GAGGAACCCAGUGGGAGGUGAUUGAAUUAUGUGGGCAGGUCUUUCCCAUGCUGUUCUCAUAAUAUUGAAUAAGUCUUAGAAAGUCUGACAGUUUUAAAAAUGUGAGUUUCCCUGCACAAGCUCUCCCUCUUUGCCUGCUGCCAUCCAUGUAAAAUGUGAUGCUCCACCUUGCCUUCCACCAUGAUUGUGAGGCUUCCCCAGCAACGUGGAACUGCUGAUUUCUCAACCUCUCUGUCGUGAGUUGACUCGUGUACUCCCAAAAGCUAUGUUGAAGUUCUAACCCCGGUACCUGUGAAUGUGGCCAUGUUUGGAAAUAGGGUCUUUGCAGAUGUUAGUUAUCAAGGUUUUCUUAGUGUGAAAUAUGAACUCAUGAGCAUCUGGCCUGGGAACUGGACCAGUUUUAAAUCUCGUGUUGAGAGCCGGAAGAUGCUGGAGAAGGAAUGUGGUGGAAUGACUGCCUGAGAAUGAACCAUUCUCCAGUGAGAGGGGGCUUCGAUAUUGAAAGGGCAAUUUGGCCUUAACUUGGAAAUGCUGGAGAUUGAUUGCAUACAAUCUGUCCUGCUAGUGAGAGAAGCAAGGACUGCAUCUAAGUGCAACAUGAAGACUUUUGGUCCCAAGCUUUCCUCCAACUUCAGUGGGAGGCAGCCCAAAACCACCGUCGGUUCAAGAAUACAAGUGACCUGCAAUUCUUGGAAAGACUCCCCCAAUUCUUCUCCCAAUAUGUGGUCAGCUUUUCCAGCAGGAUUAGGGAGGGAGGAGUUUCAGCUGUGCUUCUAAGAUCUUCCAGAAUGAAUUUUCUACCUCAAAAAUCAAGGACUUUUCUGGAAACUGCAGUCAGAGGACAGAACAUCAGCCUCAAGCUGGAAAAACAUUUAUUUUGUGGUGGGGUGUGUACCUCAGUAUUCCCUGUGCUAGAAGAAAAGAAGCACUUUCAAGGAAGGUGGGUAAGGUUUUUUCCCCCUUUUCUGGAAACCAGCUGAGAAACUUUGCCUUGGAGCGCCAUCUAGAGGAAGCCUCAGCACACACACGCUGUGCUUUCUUAGCCUUAUGACAUGACCCAGGUUGAAUCCAAUGGUUGGUACAUGCUCCAUGAACAUCCGGAGAGCAGCUGUGAUCAUGGCAUCAACGUCGAGAGAAAAGUCAUCAAAAUGAAUGUCAUCGAUGGCAAGUUCUGACACCAGAGGGAUGUUGGCUGCCUAGAAAAGCAAAAGACAUAAGUCAAGCCAAGUUCACCAGCUUUCCCAAACCCCCAUCCUGCUCUCCUCCCCUGCUUAUCAGAAGUGCCACAUAAAUCAGGCCUGACCUGCACUUACACCCUGAUACAGCUAAACUCUGAGCUGUAAAUGUCUUUUGUUUCUGAACUGCAAAUGCCCCAAGCAAAUGAAGGUGGGGGCAGGGUUGGGGGCGGGGGGAGGGAAACUAAUCUGAAGAUAAAAUACACGCACUGGAUCUAGCCUGCAGAAUUUAUAAUACAGAACUGUCAAGUUUAUGGAAACUGUGGUCAUACAAUAUAUUCUGAUGCAUAUUACAGAGCACUAAAUGCAAGAAACAUCUGGGCAGCCAGCAGCUGUGAAUUUUAAUUGAUGCUAUUCAGGAGAAGGAGAAGGGAAUACACCACUUUGCCUUGUUUCUUAUAUCCUUAUAUCCUGUAGCUUGCACGUGUUCUUUGUUACACACGUGUUCUGUAUAUUCAGAAUGAUCGAAAGGAUCAGACAGCACAUCUCUGGUGGGAAAUAUGUUGCCUUAAUAAAAUAGAGAUAUCUGAAGGUUUAGCAUAAGCCUAUGUUUCACUGAGGAGAUCAAUUUUGCUUUCUUGUUUAGCUUCAUUCUAUAUAAACAUCACAACAUAAUUACAAUACUGGUCAUACAUAUUCAAGGUUUUCAAAACACCCAUGUUAGGCAACUGUCAAUCAGCUGCCCACAAACGAGCCUAAAGAGGAGAA
rnacentral:lncRNA from 1 species